AAAUCUUGCCUAACAUCGUAUGAAUAGAAUACUGUCAUAGUCACGUGAUCUACAUGUUUAAGUUUUAUCCAAGGUUUGAUGAUUAACUUGCAAGAGAGAGUUAUCAUCUGAGCGAAGAGCGUUAUAAUUACAAUACAGAUAAUACUUCACAAUGUUUUCCUUUGUAGCUGCUUUAAGUAUAUGUACGAUAUGUGUUGUAAAUGGUUAUCCACAGGGCCCACCCACAAGUGCUUGUGUUGACAUGUACCCUACUGGACACAAAGCGAAUGCUCAAACCGGAACUCCGUAUUUUCAAAUAACCGUGGAUCAAACCACAUAUUCUGCUGGUGGCACUGUUACAGUGAAUUUGAUUGCCACCUCUAACUACUAUGAAGGUGUUUUUAUACAAGCUAGAAGAGCUGUCAGUAAUUGUUCUGAUGGUACAAACGAUACACCGGUGGGAACGUUUACCAUACCCAGUGGUGACACAUUCCUUCAACUUAUGACAUGUAGCGGUGUUUCUGGUAGUGCAGUUUCCCAGAAAACGAGUGUACAUAUAACUAAUAAGACUAUAACAUGGACAGCUCCUACUCCAGCUGUUGGUCAAAUCUAUUUCAGGGGAACUUUUGUGAAGAACGAAAAGACGUUCUGGACGGACAUAUCUUCA